CCUGGCGGCACUAGCGCGGUGGUCCCACCUGACCCCAUGCCGAACUCAGAAGUGAAACGCCGUAGCGCCGAUGGUAGUGUGGGGUCUCCCCAUGCGAGAGUAGGGGACUGCCAGGC
rnacentral:rRNA from 1 species